rnacentral:lncRNA from 1 species
AAACCCGCGGCCAAACCCUUAUCCACUUUCCCCAUUCGCCUCUCCACUUUCCUCAAACGGCUCGCGACGAUGCCCGACGACGGCGACGACGCACGGGGGGCUCUCAUCGACGCCUCGCGACUUUGAGGGGAGACGACGCGGGGCGGCUACUGACGACGGCGACGACGCGUGGAGCGGCUCUCGUCGACGGCGACGAUGCGUGGAGCGGCUCUCGUCGACGGCGACAACUUCUUGCUCAAAAUCUUCCCCGGUCUUCUCUCAGUUGGUCUCUCAGCCUUCAUCUCUCGGUCAGGGUCAUGGCGUUAGGGUUAGGGUUUGGGUCAUGGCGUUAGGGUUAGGGUCAGGCUCAUGGCGUUAGGGUUAGGGUGGGCGUGCUAGUAUCUACGAGUAGUCUCGUAUCAGCUGACGUGCAACAAUCGGCGGCGGCGGCCGUCCCGAUAUGGUCGCGGAGGCUCUUCUCCUGAACAGCGUUCAGCAGGCACAGACAACCUUGUGAAGCUGUGGUUCUCACUUUAUCAAGGCAGUAGAGAGUUAGCCGGUGUGGUGUAAAACACUCUGAAACUAGUUUCGCGUAGUGAUUAGGUUCUCGCCUAGUGUAUGUAUUGUUCAU